CAGCAGCCACGGUAAUACGGAGGGUGCAAGCGUUAAUCGGAAUUACUGGGCGUAAAGCGCACGCAGGCGGUCUGACAAGUCAGAUGUGAAAUCCCCGGGCUUAACCUGGGAACUGCAUUUGAAACUGUCAGGCUGGAGUCUUGUAGAGGGGGGUGGAAUUCCAGGUGUAGCGGUGAAAUGCGUAGAGAUCUGGAGGAAUACCGGUGGCGAAGGCGGCCCCCUGGACAAAGACUGACGCUCAGGUGCGAAAGCGUGGGGAGCAAACAGGAUUAGAUACCGUGUAGUCCCUGUCUCUUAUACA
rnacentral:rRNA from 1 species